rnacentral:rRNA from 1 species
AGUGAACGCUGGCGGCGUGCUUAACACAUGCAAGUCGAACGAGAACGGAUUAUAGCUUGCUAUAAUUGUCAGCUAAGUGGCGCACGGGUGAGUAAUGUAUAGAUAACCUGCCCUCUAGAAAGGAAUAACAGUUGGAACCGACUGCUAAUGCCCUAUAUGCCUUUAAUACAUAAGUAUGCAAGGGAAACGCUUUAGUGCUAGAGGAUGGGUCUGUAUGGUAUCAGCUUGUUGGUGAGGUAAUGGCUUACCAAGGCUAUGACGCCUAACUGGUUUGAGAGGAUGAUCAGUCACACUGGAACUGAGACACGGUCCAGACUCCUACGGGAGGCAGCAGUGGGGAAUAUUGCACAAUGGACGAAAGUCUGAUGCAGCAACGCCGCGUGGAGGAUGACACAUUUCGGUGCGUAAACUCCUUUUAUAUAGGAAGAUAAUGACGGUACUAUAUGAAUAAGCACCGGCUAACUCCGUGCCAGCAGCCGCGGUAAGAC